UCCCUUCACAUUGUUCAGUAAUUUUCCCGUU
rnacentral:piRNA from 1 species